UACGAAGGGGCAAGCGUUGUUCGGAAUUACUGGGCGUAAAGGGCGCGUAGGCGGCUUACCAAGUCAGGCGUGAAAUUCCCGGGCUCAACCUGGGGGCUGCGCUUGAUACUGGUGAGCUUGAAUGCGGGAGAGGAUAGUGGAAUUCCCAGUGUAGAGGUGAAAUUCGUAGAUAUUGGGAAGAACACCGGUGGCGAAGGCGGCUAUCUGGCCCGUAAUUGACGCUGAGGCGCGAAAGCGUGGGGAGCAAACAGGG
rnacentral:rRNA from 1 species